UACGUAGGGCGCAAGCGUUGUCCGGAAUUAUUGGGCGUAAAGAGCUCGUAGGCGGCUUGUCACGUCGGGUGUGAAAGCCCGGGGCUUAACCCCGGGUCUGCAUUCGAUACGGGCAGGCUAGAGUGUGGUAGGGGAGAUCGGAAUUCCUGGUGUAGCGGUGAAAUGCGCAGAUAUCAGGAGGAACACCGAUGGCGAAGGCAGGUCUCUGGGCAUUAACUGACGCUGAGGAGCGAAAGCAUGGGGAGCGAACAGG
rnacentral:rRNA from 1 species